UACGUAGGGUGCGAGCGUUAAUCGGAAUUACUGGGCGUAAAGCGUGCGCAGGCGGUGAUGUAAGACAGAUGUGAAAUCCCCGGGCUUAACCUGGGAACUGCAUUUGUGACUGGCGGGCUAGAGUAUGGCAGAGGGGGGGUAGAAUUCCACGUGUAGCAGUGAAAUGCGUAGAGAUGUGGAGGAAUACCGAUGGCGAAGGCAGCCCCCUGGGCCAAUACUGACGCUCAUGCACGAAAGCGUGGGGAGCAAACAGG
rnacentral:rRNA from 1 species